UACGAAGGGGGCUAGCGUUGUUCGGAUUUACUGGGCGUAAAGCGCACGUAGGCGGAUUGUUAAGUGGAGGGGUGAAAAUCCCAGGGCUCAACCCUGGAACUGCCUUUCAUACUGGCAAUCUUGAGUCCGGAAGAGGUGAAGUGGAACUCCUAGUGUAGAGGUGGAAUUCGUAGAUAUUAGGAAGAACACCAGUGGCGAAGGCGGCUCACUGGUCCGGUACUGACGCUGAGGUGCGAAAGCGUGGGGAGCAAACAGG
rnacentral:rRNA from 1 species